UACGUAGGGGGCAAGCGUUGUCCGGAAUUAUUGGGCGUAAAGAGCUCGUAGGCGGCUUAGUAAGUCGGCGGUGAAAUCCCUCGGCUUAACCGAGGAACUGCCCUCCAAACUGUUUGGCUUGAGACCGGGAGAGGUGAGUGGAAUUCCCAGUGUAGCGGUGAAAUGCGUAGAUAUUGGGAGGAACACCAGUGGCGAAGGCGGCUCACUGGACCGGUACUGACGCUGAGGCGCGAAAGCGUGGGGAGCAAACGGG
rnacentral:rRNA from 1 species